GACGUAGGUGGCGAACGUUAUCCGGAAUUAUUGGGCGUAAAGAGCGUGUAGGCGGUUUGGUAGGUCCGCUGUGAAAACUCGAGCUCAACCUCGAGACGCCGGUGGAAACCAUCAGACUAGAGUCCUGGAGAGGGUCGUGGAAUUCCCGGUGUAGCGGUGAAAUGCGUAGAGAUCGGGAGGAACACCAGAGGCGAAGGCGGCGACCUGGACAGGUACUGACACUCAACUACGAAAGCGUGGGGAGCAAACAGG
rnacentral:rRNA from 1 species